rnacentral:lncRNA from 1 species
UCGGAAACGUGGGAAGAAGAAGAUGGGACGACACCUGAUGAUUAUUAGCUAGUAACUAGCUAAUAACUAGCCGUUUUCCCACGAACUCUAGUUCGUAGCAGGCAAACGUGGCAGACGUGGGCGAAAACACGGAAGAAACUGGCGCGCGAAUUAAAUGGCAAAACAUUAAGUCUGAAACCGUUCCAAAACGAUUCAGACUUAGGGGGCAUUGUUUGGGCCCAAAUUCGGCAUGCCCAAGACCAGAAGGCAGGCCCAUGAUAAAUUGCCUGCCCAGCCCAGAGACUUGAGAAAAACAAAAAAUAAAAUCCAAACAGUUUGGGCUUCACACCAAGAACGUUGGAAAUAAAGCCUCAGCCCAAAGAAAGCCCAGAUGUGGAAACUUUCGAAUUGGACUUCAAAGAUCAGCCCGUAAUUUUCGAUAGAUUCAAAACCAAGGGAUCAAAGACACACCCACGUGAUUGCCUCAGCUUUGGAAAAGUCAGCAAUUUCAACUAAAAUUUAAAAAUGUGAGAGGGACGUCUCUGAAACACUGCCAAUUGAAGAUCAAAAACCCAUCUGUGUUCAAGAUUUUGCUCCAAAUCAAUACACCAUCUCCCAAGAAAUUCACGGAUCAUGCUUUCUAAAUUAGAACGGGAAACAGGGAACCACUCAGAAAAUACAAAAGAAAAAGAGCCAAAACCGCCAUAAAAAGCCCACACAGACGGUGGCGUUGGUUGAAUUAGAAAGCUGCCACCCAGAAAACUAAGGAAGGGACUGUUUUUAGGAGGUGACUACUCAGAACCUAUCUAAAAAACCCUUCUUACUUUACAUUAUAA